AUGUUAGCGGCGGACGGGUGAGUAACACGUGGGUAACCUGCCUGUAAGACUGGGAUAACUCCGGGAAACCGGGGCUAAUACCGGAUGGUUGUCUGAACCGCAUGGUUCAGACAUAAAAGGUGGCUUCGGCUACCACUUACAGAUGGACCCGCGGCGCAUUAGCUAGUUGGUGAGGUAACGGCUCACCAAGGCGACGAUGCGUAGCCGACCUGAGAGGGUGAUCGGCCACACUGGGACUGAGACACGGCCCAGACUCCUACGGGAGGCAGCAGUAGGGAAUCUUCCGCAAUGGACGAAAGUCUGACGGAGCAACGCCGCGUGAGUGAUGAAGGUUUUCGGAUCGUAAAGCUCUGUUGUUAGGGAAGAACAAGUGCCGUUCAAAUAGGGCGGCACCUUGACGGUACCUAACCAGAAAGCCACGGCUAACUACGUGCCAGCAGCCGCGGUAAUACGUAGGUGGCAAGCGUUGUCCGGAAUUAUUGGGCGUAAAGGGCUCGCAGGCGGUUUCUUAAGUCUGAUGUGAAAGCCCCCGGCUCAACCGGGGAGGGUCAUUGGAAACUGGGGAACUUGAGUGCAGAAGAGGAGAGUGGAAUUCCACGUGUAGCGGUGAAAUGCGUAGAGAUGUGGAGGAACACCAGUGGCGAAAGGCGACUCUCUGGUCUGUAACUGACGCUGAGG
rnacentral:rRNA from 1 species